GAUUAACGCUGGCGGCGUGCAUAACACAUGCAAGUCGAACGAUGAAACUCAUUAGAUUUCUUCGGAAUGAAAAUGAAUGGAUUAGUGGCGAACGGGUGAGUAACGCGUGAGUAACCUGCCUUACACAAGGGGAUAGCCUCUGGAAACGGAGAAUAAUACCCUAUGAAACCAGACAAUCGCAUGAUAAUCUGGUCAAAAUGUUUAGUGGUGUAAGAUGGACUUGCGUCUGAUUAGCUAGUUGGUGAGAUAAAAGCUCACCAAGGCAACGAUCAGUAGCCGGCUUGAGAGAGUGUACGGCCACAUUGGGACUGAGACACGGCCCAGACUCCUACGGGAGGCAGCAGUGGGGAAUUUUGCACAAUGGGGGAAACCCUGAUGCAGCGACGCCGCGUGAUUUAGAAGGCCUUCGGGUUGUAAAAAUCUUUUGUAUAGGAAGAAAAUGACAGUACUAUACGAAUAAGGUCCGACUAAUUACGUG
rnacentral:rRNA from 1 species